UACGGAGGAUGCAAGCGUUAUCCGGAAUGAUUGGGCGUAAAGAGCUCGUAGGCGGUUCGUCGCGUCGGCUGUGAAAUCCCGAGGCUCAACCUCGGGUCUGCAGUCGAUACGGGCGGACUGGAGUUCGGCAGGGGAGACUGGAAUUCCUGGUGUAGCGGUGAAAUGCGCAGAUAUCAGGAGGAACACCGGUGGCGAAGGCGGGUCUCUGGGCCGAUACUGACGCUGAGGAGCGAAAGCGUGGGGAGCGAACAGG
rnacentral:rRNA from 1 species